CGUUGUAGGAAUAAAUCCCACUGGAGGAAAAAAAUUAAAAUUUCUUUCGCUGCAUCCCGCUAAUCUCUCUGAGCCUGCAUCGGGAGAAAAUCACUGAUUGGAGAACAUCACCAUCCGAACUAAAUCGAUUUCACAUCAUAAUCCAUCCUAAUCCAGACAUUUUUGACAAAAACGAGGGUUCUGGAACUGAUUCGCUCCAUUCAGGAUUGCUCAAGUUGGAUUGUCAAACUGAACCAGCUGGCCAAAUGUGUGCCUUCUACCUGCGAAUGCUGGAUGUCCACAUCGUCGUGUAAUAUGAGCCUUGGGAGUUGGCUAAGGCCAGAAGUCGUGGUUUGUAAUCAUGGAAUUGAAGCUCAAGUUGUAACAUCGAAAAUGAAUGCCAAUCCUGGACGUCGUUUCUAUCGGUACUUUAUUUGGAAGGAGGACGACUGCAAGUUCUUCCAUUGGAUUGAUCCAUCGUUGUCACCGAAUAAGAAAACUAUAUUCAAAAAUUGAAGAUGGACAAGAACAACAUGCAAAAAUUGAAGAUGGACAAGAACAACAUGCAAAAAGCAUUGAAAGCCAGUGUUGCUAUGCAUGAUAUGCUAACAGAGAAAGUCCGUUCCAAAAGAAGUUGAAUUGGAAUCACUCCAAAUAGUGGCUGAAAUUUGCGUCGACCGAACCAGAACUUGAAGUAUGCUAUUUUGUGUUUAUGUGUUGUGGUCUGGCUUCUUAUCUAGACUAUAAUAGUACAGAUUAUGUAAUAGUCUAAUGUAUUUCACCUAUGUCUAGGAUUUUACACUAAAGUUCUAAUGUAUCCUCAAAUUUAUCUUCGUUGUAGACUUUAUGAAAUUUUCAAUGCAGAUGCAGUGUUAACUUAAUUAAA